rnacentral:rRNA from 1 species
UACAGAGGUCUCAAGCGUUGUUCGGAUUCAUUGGGCGUAAAGGGUGCGUAGGCGGCGCGGUAAGUCGGGUGUGAAAUCUCGGAGCUUAACUCCGAAACUGCAUUCGAUACUGCCGUGCUUGAGGACUGGAGAGGAGACUGGAAUUUACGGUGUAGCGGUGAAAUGCGUAGAUAUCGUAAGGAAGACCAGUGGCGAAGGCGGAUCUCUGGACAGAUCCUGACGCUGAGGCACGAAGGUCAGGGGAGCAAACGGG